UUGAGUACUUACGUUUCCUCGGCGGGUCCGCCCGCCGAUUGGACAAAAUUAAACCCUUUGCAGUUGCAAUCAGCGUCUGAAAAACAUAAUAGUUACAACUUUCAACAACGGAUCUCUUGGUUCUGGCAUCGAUGAAGAACGCAGCGAAAUGCGAUAAGUAGUGUGAAUUGCAGAAUUCAGUGAAUCAUCGAAUCUUUGAACGCACAUUGCGCCCCUUGGUAUUCCAUGGGGCAUGCCUGUUCGAGCGUCAUUUGUACCUUCAAGCUCUGCUUGGUGUUGGGUGUUUGUCUCGCCUCUGCGUGUAGACUCGCCUUAAAACAAUUGGCAGCCGGCGUAUUGAUUUCGGAGCGCAGUACAUCUCGCGCUUUGCACUCAUAACGACGACGUCCAAAAGUACAUUUUUACACUCUUGACCUCGGAUCAGGUAGGGAUACCCGCUGAACUUAAGCAUAUCAAUUAAAGCGGAG
rnacentral:misc_RNA from 1 species